AGCGAACGCUGGCGGCAGGCCUAACACAUGCCAGUCGAACGAACCUUUCGGGGUUAGUGGCGGACGGGUGAGUAACACGUGGGAACGUGCCUUUAGGUUCGGAAUAACUCAGGGAAACUUGUGCUAAUACCGAAUGUGCCCUUCGGGGGAAAGAUUUAUCGCCUUUAGAGCGGCCCGCGUCUGAUUAGCUAGUUGGUUGAGGUAAUGGCUCACCAAGGCGACGAUCAGUAGCUGGUCUGAGAGGAUGAUCAGCCACAUUGGGACUGAGACACGGCCCAAACUCCUACGGGAGGCAGCAGUGGGGAAUCUUGCGCAAUGGGCGAAAGCCUGACGCAGCCAUGCCACGUGAAUGAUGAAGGUCUUAGGAUUGUAAAAUUCUUUCACCGGGGACGAUAAUGACGGUACCCGGAGAAGAAGCCCCGGCUAACUUCGUG
rnacentral:rRNA from 1 species